CGGCGGCCUCCCGGGCGCCGCCCGCCCCGGGCUCCGCGCGCCGCGCCGCCGCGAGACGCGGGCGAUGGCGGCGAUCAGGCGCUCCAGGAAGAGGUUGAAGAACAGGAGGGAGCUGGAGCACCCCAGGAGGCCGUAGACGAUCAGGAACACCUUCCCGCCCACUGUCGCUGGCGUGGCCAUCCCAAACCCUGCGGGAGACAGAAAUCGGAGGAGGUCCGCCCACAUCGCUGCCAGUGGCGUUCCUUUUCCGCUCCUCUUCAUGGCUGAGUAAGACACGUGCAUACGCAAGCCGCAUCAUCUCUUCCCGCCAGUUGUUCCAGGAACUUAAAAUCUCUAGAUUCUUUCUCGUUUGGCUGGUUUUAAAACAUUCAGUUUUAUCAAAGAAGGGAUAAUCCAUGACUGUUGAUUACCUACUGAAUUUUCUUGAGCACUGCCCUCUUUUUAAUCAGCAAAAGUAACAGAAGACAGGACAAGUGGUGGUGUUCACAGAAGCCACCGGAGACCGCUUCCCAGUGUUUGCAGUUAGAGGUGUUUCCAUAGCUCGGACUGCUCUCAGAGCUUAAAAGUGUGUCAGCGAAUAAGCAGGCAUUUUCACAGCAAGUCUCCACUCUUUUGAGUCCCCUGUUACUGGGCAUUACCAAUGCCUUGGAUUGGAAAUAAUAAGCCUCAAGGUCCUCCUCGGUGGGGAAACGGGCACAGGCGUUAUCAGAAGCCUGCUCUCUGCCCGGUUCACUGACUCCUCAUCCCCACGCCACUCCCAGCGGUGAAGCCAAGUUAGCACCGAGGGCUGUCUGGUCUCCAGGCCCGCGGCCUCCCGCCUGACUGCAGCGUGGGGAGAGCCCAGGCGCGGCCGCACGCGCUGAAAGUAGAAGCGGAGGGAGACGAGCCGAGCGCCCGCCGCCCCGCGCGCCACACGCACACCCGCGCGAGGGGCUGCCGAAGCCGACACGGUCGGGAGCGGCCGGCGUCGGACGCGGACACCCGCCGUCCUCCCUGACUCAGACGCACAACGGGAGCGCGCGGGUGCCGCUCCCAGCAUGCGACGCCGUCCAGUCGGAGCUAAAACCCCGCUGCACCCCAUGCGUUUGGUCCCCCCGUGUUUCAUACACACCCAUGACGCUGACUGUCAGACGGCGUGCUUUUCAGCAUACCGUUUUGUCCCUGAGCUUCAGGUCUGAGGUCACGGGGCUUGUGUCCAGCCCCCGAGUCUGGGAGCGCAUGGCCCAGCUGAUCGGGGGUCGUGGGCACGGUGUGGUCUGGAGGCCGAGGCAGGGGCUCGCCUGGUGGUCUGCUUCCAUCUGGCCCCCUUGACUAUUCCAGAUCUGCUUCUGAUGUGAUUGCAACCUCAGGGUGGCUCCUGAUCCUGGGUGUGUCCCUGGGGUCAGGAAGGAAGCGGCAGGCCUGGCCAGGGGCCCACCACCCCCAUAGAGCCCCUCACCUGGACCACGAGGACAGAGCAAGACCUGCCACUCCCGGCCCUCGAGCACAUACUGUCUAAAUAUUCUCUUAAAAAAUUAAGGCGAAAAAUAGAAAAGUUUCGCAUUAUGCUUUUCAAAUACACACAAAGGUAGAGAGAACACAAUAAACUCACAGUUCCUGGUUUCAGCAGCUGUCAACAUCUUGCCAAUCAUGUUUUCCCUAUCCCACCCCACCCCCUUUACCUGCUGGAGAUUUUUAAAGUAUUGAUAAACCCGAGACAGCAUGCCAUCUUAUCCAUUAAUAAUGAUGCCUCUGUAACUGACAAGCACUUUAUUUUCCCGAUGUAACCACUACCUCGUUAUCACACCUAAUGAGAUUAACACCAGCUUCUUAACAGGAAAUAAUACCCAGUCCAUAUUCCAGUCUCCAGACUGUACAGAUCACCUGUAGGAAUCAGGAUCCUAACGAGGUCCAUGAAGCGUAUCUUCCACGCCUCUUUCCUUUGUUCAGUCUCCCUUCCCAUUUUUCUUUCUUUAUGCCACUGAGUUGUUGAUCAAAUGUGUCCUGUAGGCUUUCAUCAUAAUUUUUUCUGGAAACAUUUGGGGAAAAAUGUGUAUCAUGAGAGUGCCCUCACAUGCAGUAGCAAAUAGCAAACACUGUGUGGAGGCCUGCAGAUCAGCAUACAUUGUCUAGACAGCAAUCUGAGAAUAUAUAUCAGACAUCUUAGAAGUAUUUAUAUCUUUUUGUUUAUAAUUUUUAAGGACUAUAUCUUCAAAACUAUCAGAAAUGUGACGACUUACGUGUGUACACUGAUGUCACCUGCCUUUACUUUUAACAAUGAGAAUCUUUAGCAACCUGAAUGGCAGAUAAUAGGGCAGCAGCUAAGUAAAAGUAGCCAUUUAGCUGAAGCCACUGGAAUUACAUAUACGCAACAGAACCGGAACACGUAAUGCUAAAAUCUAUAUGAGACCACCAGAGACCGGGAAUUGCCAAAGCGGUCCUGAGGAAAAAGAAAGAAGCAGGAUGCCAAACCCUCCCAGACUUCAGACAAUACUGCAAAGCUCCAGAAAUCGAACAGAGUGGUCCUUGCCCCAAAACAGACACGUGGACCAGCGGGGCAGAACAGAAAGCCAGAAAUAAACCCAAACACAGCUAUGGCCAGUUAAUUUUCGAUAAAUGAGGCCAGAACACACAAUGCAGAGAAUACAGCUUCUUCAGCAAGUGGUGCUGGGACACUCGACUGCUGCGUGUGAACCAGUGAAGUUAGAACAUUCUCACACCACACACAAAACAAACUCAGAACGGCUUAAGAUUCAAAUACGAGACAUGACACCAUAAAGCUCCUAAGAGAGAGAGCAGGCAGACAUUCUCUGACAUAAAUGGUAGCAAUGUUUUCUUAGGUCAGUCUCCCAAGGCAAUAAAAAUAAAAGCAAAAUAAACAAAUGGGACCUCAUCAAAUUGAUAAGCUUUUGCACAGCAAAGGAAACCAUAAACAAAAUGAAACAACCGUCUAUAGUCUAAGAGGAAAUAUCACAAAUGAUGUGACCGACAGGGGCUUAGUUUCCAAGAUAUACAAACAGCUCAUACAAUUCAAUAAUAAAAAAACAACCCAGUUGAAACAUGGGCAGAAGAAAUAAGUAGACAUUCCUCCAAAGAAAACAUACAGAUGGCCAACAGACUCGGGAAAACAGCACGGAGGUUCCUCAGGAAACUGAAAACGGAGCUGGCGUGUGGCCCAGCAGGCCCACUCCUGGGCAAGUCUCUGGGCUAACUGUGGUCUGGAAAGGUGCCUGCACGCCUGAGUUCACGGCAGCACUGUCCACAGUUCACAACCUAAACGUCCCUCAACGGAUGAGUGGGUAAAGAAGAUGGGCCCAUAUGAACAGUAGAAAACUAGUCAGCCGUCCAAACAAUGAAAUAAUGUUACCUGCAGCAACGUGGAUAGACCCAGAGAUGAUCAUACCGAGGGGAGAAAAUCAGGAAGAGAAACUCAAAUAGCAUGCGACAUCACUCAUGUGUGAAACCUGAAGCAUGACGCCAGCGAGUUCACCUGUGAAAGCAGCAGGGAACAGACCCAUAGGGAACAGACUCGUAGGGAACAGACUCGUAGGGAACAGACUCGUAGGGAACAGGCCCGUAGGGAGCAGACUCAUAGGGAACAGGCCCAUAGGGAACAGACUCGUAGGGAACAGACUCGUAGGGAACAGGCCCGUAGGGAACAGACUCGUAGGGAACAGGCCCGUAGGGAACAGACUCGUAGGGAACAGACUCGUAGGGAACAGGCUCGUAGGGAACAGGCCCGUAGGGAACAGACUCGUAGGGAACAGGCUCGUAGGGAACAGGCCCGUAGGGAACAGACUCGUAGGGAACAGACUCAUAGGGAACAGGCCCGUAGGGAACAGACUCGUAGGGAACAGGCUCGUAGGGAACAGGCCCGUAGGGAACAGGCCCGUAGGGAACAGACUCGUAGGGAACAGACUCGUAGGGAACAGGCUCGUAGGGAACAGGCCCGUAGGGAACAGACUCGUAGGGAACAGGCUCGUAGGGAACAGGCCUGUAGGGAACAGACUCGUAGGGAACAGACUCAUAGGGAACAGGCCCGUAAGGAACAGGCCCGUAGGGAACAGACUCGUAGGGAACAGACUCAUAGGGAACAGGCCCGUAAGGAACAGGCCCAUAGGGAACAGACUCGUAGGGAACAGGCUCGUAGGGAACAGGCCCGUAGGGAACAGACUCGUAGGGAACAGACUGGGGGUUGUCAAGGGGGAGGGGGUGCGGGAGGGAUGCAGUGAGUGUGGGUCAGCAGACGCCAAGUGGUGUACGCAGAAUGGGGCAACAAGGGUCCUACCGCACAGCUCAGGAGACUGCUCGGCACCCUGAAAUAGACCAUAGUGGAAAAUACGAAGAGAAUACACACCCACACACGUGUAACUGAGUCGCUACGCUACGCUACGCAGCCGAAACCAACACAUCACAAACAACUGCCCUUCAAUAAAAUGAAAUUUAAAAUAUACAUAGGAUAUAGACAUACAUUAUGUACAAAAUGAGCUAGAAGGAUACAUACGUAGGGAAUACAGGCAAUAUUCUACGGUAGCUAUAAUGGAGUCUAGCCUAUAAAAAUUGAGAAUCACUGUACUGUACACCUGUAACUUAUAUUGUGUAUCGACUAUACCUCAAUUUAAAAAUUACAUGGACUGAUUCGUGUUGAGGUUUGACAGAAAACAACAAAAUUCUGUAAAGCUAUUAUCCUUCAAUUAAAAAGUAAAUAAAUUUUUAAAAAUUACACAUGCAAAGAAUUUGUAACGACUAGAGAAAAUGUUAUAUGGAAAAAAGCAGAGCCAAGAUGUGUCUACAGAAAGACUCUAGUCUGGCUCGUCUUCAUUGAUCAUUUGUUGGAUGAGAGAAUAAACUUCACAAAGUGUAUUUAUACAGUUCUGUAUAUUGAGGCAGUUAAGGUGGUUUUGGAUGCCAGUAACAACUAUUGUAAAUAAGGGUGGCUUAAACACAAAGGGGAUGCAUCAUCUCAUAGAACAGGAUGUUUGGAGGCAGGGCGGCUCCAGGAACAGUUGAUUAGGUGGCUUUGGAACAAGAUCUAUGAGCCACGAUCACCUCGCCUUUUCUGACGUUGGCUCCAUCAGCGUGUCGGCCAGCCUCCCACGCCAGCAGCUUCAAGAAGGACCCCCUCACACACCCGAGUCCAGAGUCGGCGCGUGUUUUGUUCCUACCCUGCUUACAUCGUUAUCAGAGCACAGAAGGCUUUCCAGAAGCCCCCCGGCAAAGUUUCCAUCAUAUGCCAUUAAGCAGCAACAAGCCACAAGCCCGCUUCUCAAGCUAGUCGCCUGCAGGAGUGGGUUUCUUCUCAGACUGGUUGUCGUUUACCAGCGCCCCCGAAAAAGAGGUGGGCCCAGAACCAACAACGUCUGCCAGUACAGAGAAGGAGACAAACAGAGAGACAAAGGCUCAAUCAGGUCGUUUUAGGGUGGUGACAGCGUGGGUGAUGUAACUGUUUCUUAAUGUCUUGUAUCUUUCAUCACCUUUUAAAAGCGUACAGUAGCCAGUGUGGUAGGCCAUGGGUUUGUUUUUUUUUAAAAAAAAAUCUUUACUUUUAAACUGAGAAAACUAUGUUAAAAUAUUUUGAAAAUAUUCUGGGACAUUUCUUCAGAUUGCAUGUAAACACCUGCCCGGAAGAAGUAUUCCUCUUGGUUUAUCUCAUUACACUAAUAAAUCAAACUUUGACUUGAAUAAAUGUCUUCAUAAUCUU
ensembl:lncRNA